GAUGAACGCUAGCUACAGGCUUAACACAUGCAAGUCAGGGGCAGCAUGAACAUAGCUUGCUAUGUUUGAUGGCGACCGGCGCACGGGUGAGUAACGCGUGGGUAACCUGCCGUAUACAGGGGGACAACAGUUGGAAACGACUGCUAAUACCGCAUAAGCGCACAGGACCGCAUGGUCUGGUGUGAAAAACUCCGGUGGUAUACGAUGGACCCGCGUCUGAUUAGCUAGUUGGUGAGGUAACGGCCCACCAAGGCGACGAUCAGUAGCCGGCCUGAGAGGGUGAACGGCCACAUUGGGACUGAGACACGGCCCAAACUCCUACGGGAGGCAGCAGUGGGGAAUAUUGGACAAUGGGGGAAACCCUGAUCCAGCGACGCCGCGUGAGUGAAGAAGUAUUUCGGUAUGUAAAGCUCUAUCAGCAGGGAAGAAAAUGACGGUACCUGACUAAGAAGCUCCGGCUAAAUACGUG
rnacentral:rRNA from 1 species